AACGAACGCUGGCGGCAUGCCUAACACAUGCAAGUCGCACGAAGCCUUCGGGCUUAGUGGCGCACGGGUGCGUAACGCGUGGGAAUCUGCCCUUGUGUUCGGGAUAACAGUUAGAAAUGACUGCUAAUACCGGAUGAUGUCUUCGGACCAAAGAUUUAUCGCCCAAGGAUGAGCCCGCGUAGGAUUAGGUAGUUGGUGGGGUAAUGGCCCACCAAGCCGACGAUCCUUAGCUGGUCUGAGAGGAUGAUCAGCCACACUGGGACUGAGACGCGGCCCAGACUCCUACGGGAGGCAGCAGUGGGGAAUACUGGACAAUGGGCGUAAGCCUGAUCCAGCAAUGCCGCGUGAGUGAUGAAGGCCUUCGGGUUGUAAAGCUCUUUCACCGAUGAAGAUAAUGACGGUAGUCGGAGAAGAAGCCCCGGCUAACUUCGUGCCAGCCGCCGCCGUAACAC
rnacentral:rRNA from 1 species